UGAAGGGAGAGGUUUUAUACCCCCCAACGAAAAAAAAAGCUGUCCACGAAGAUAAGACCACGAGUUUUUUGCAGGUAACAUACGUUCAUGCAGACAACAGACUCCGGUUGCAUCCAUAGUCAUCGGGAAAUCGGUUUUGCUGCACCACUGCAAGGAACACGUUAAGCAAGAAAAGCAGGAUGCAGAAAGGAUAAGGAAGAGGAAAGGAGCAGAGAAGGGAUAGUCUUCCCGUUCUGCUCAGUGUGUAUGUGUUGGGGUGCAUGAAGCUGUAGACCACUGCACUGAUGGAGAAGAGGGAGAGGAAGCCUGGCUACUUUGCCAGUUAGUCUUGUCUCAUCGCUGCAUCUCCCGUACGGACUCAGGAGAGGCGAAGGUCGAGAGCCAUGCGUCCUCCGAAACACAACCCAACCAAGCCGCACUGCUUUUUGACACAACGCACAUCCACCCCGGAAGCCAGCCGCACCAAUGUGUCGGAGGAAACACGGUACACCUGGUCACCGUGCACUGCGCCCGGCCCGCCACAGGAGUCGCUAGUGCGCGAUGAGACAAGGAUAUCCCUGCCGGCCAAACCCUCCC
rnacentral:lncRNA from 1 species